rnacentral:rRNA from 1 species
GACGUAGGGGGCAAGCGUUGUUCGGAAUUAUUGGGCGUAAAGCGCUCGUAGGCGGGACUGGAAGUCCGUGUUGAAAGACCUCGGCUCAACUGAGGGACCGGCUCGGAUACUCUAGUUCUUGAGGCAAUCAGAGGGUGAUGGAAUUCCCGGUGUAGCGGUGAAAUGCGUAGAUAUUGCUCGGAAGGCCGGAGCCGAAGGGGCCCCACUGGUACGUAACUGACGCUGAGGCACGAAAGCGUGGGGAGCAAACAGG